rnacentral:rRNA from 1 species
CCUACGGGAGGCAGCAGUGGGGAAUAUUGGGCAAUGGGCGCAAGCCUGACCCAGCAACGCCGCGUGAAGGAAGAAGGCUUUCGGGUUGUAAACUUCUUUUGACAGGGAAGAGCAGAAGACGGUACCAUAUGAAUAAGGAUCGGCUAACUCCGUGCCAGCAGCCGCGGUAAUACGGAGGAUCCGAGCGUUAUCCGGAUUUAUUGGGUGUAAAGGGCGUGUAGCCGGGCUGACAAGUCAGAUGUGAAAUCCGGGGGCUCAACCCCCGAACUGCAUUUGAAACUGUUGGUCUUGAGUAUCGGAGAGGCAGGCGGAAUUCCUAGUGUAGCGGUGAAAUGCGUAGAUAUUAGGAGGAACACCAGUGGCGAAGGCGGCCUGCUGGACGACAACUGACGGUGAGGCGCGAAAGCGUGGGGAGCAAACAGGAUUAGAUACCCCAGUAGUC